UAUGUGAUCGUCUCUCGCAUAUCAAUAAGCGGAGGAAAAGAAACUAACAAGGAUUCCCCUAGUAACGGCGAGUGAAGCGGGAAGAGCUCAAAUUUGAAAUCUUAAAGGGUUUCCCUUUACGAAUUGUAGUUUAAAGAAGUGUUUUCUGUUGAGGUUUUGGUAAAAGUUCUUUGGAAUAGGACAUCAUAGAGGGUGAGAAUCCCGUAUUUGACCUUUACUUUCAACUUUGUGAUACACUUUCAAAGAGUCGGAUUGUUUGGGAAUGCAGUCCAAAAUGGGUGGUAAAUUUCAUCUAAAGCUAAAUAUUGGCGAGAGACCGAUAGCGAACAAGUACCGUGAGGGAAAGAUGAAAAGAACUUUGAAAAGAGAGUUAAACAGUACGUGAAAUUGUCAAAAGGGAAGCGUUUGACACCAGUGUUGUUUUUCUGAAAAUCAAUUAAAGAACUGUUUAUGCUAAGUUGUUUAGACUUUAUCAGCUAACUGUUUAGUUUUGAGCUUUUCUUUAAUGCACUUUUCAGUUAACAAGUCAACAUCAAUUUCUUUUGCUGUAAGAAAGCUUGAGGAAGGUGGCUUGAGAUUCGUCUUAAGUGUUUAUAGCCUCUUGCCUAUGCAGUCGGAGAGAUUGAGGUCUGCAGCGUAGAUCCUUCGGGGCUAAAUGCAUUUGUGCUAAGUUAUAGCAUUUUAUAGACAACUUGUUGACUAUGAUUUGUCUUGUAGCUUACUCGCUUAUGUUAUUUUACCUACGCUUAGGAUGUUGAUCUACAGAGCGAGAGU
rnacentral:rRNA from 1 species